AUGCCCCCCGCUGUGUUCUUUUUGCUUAGAAUUGAUUUGGCUAUGCGGGCUCUCUUUUGGUUCCAUAUGAAGUUCAUGAUGGUUUUUUCCAGUUCUGUGAAGAAAGUCAAUGAUGCAGGGCUUCGGAUUGCCCUCCCAUGUACCAUUCCUUCCAGCCCUUCAGGAAAUGAGCUUCUCCAAAUCAAGGGCAUGACAUCAUCAAGGUUGGCAUCAUCUUGCCAGGGCUGCAAGAAACAGUGGAGAACUGAGGACAGUCUCCAGGCCAGCAAUGAAAGGAGACUCCACGAUGGUCGAGCAGCAGGGCCAGAAUGGCCAGGGCAGCCGGGAGGUCAGGGGCUCCCAGGGAGACUUGGCAGGAAAAUGAAAUUAAUGGAACAGCUAAAGUACUGGAACACCAGGAGAGGAAAUUUACAUCAACAGGAAGGGGCACUGGCAAUAGGAGAGGAGUUUGGGGAUCAAUUAAGGACAAGGACAAAAAAGAUAAUUGUAAAAUACAGAUGAUUAUUCACUCCGGAUAAAACAAAAACGUUAUGCAAGAAAGAAAAUGAAGUAAAUGAAAAAUAUAAAGCAAUCAUCAACUUCAGGUAAAACAAAAAAAGUUAUGCAGGAAUGGGCUUGGCUGUGAAAGGCCCUAACAUAGUCACAAUAUAAACACUGAGUGUUAAUCUUGUCAAGGAUGAUGGGACCACCCUCAACUCCAAAAUAAAAAGCAGAGCUCAAGUUACUGCCCACUCAAGUAAGGGAAAGGGCUGCUGCUCGGGCAGCUUCCCAGAGGUGGCAGAGCUGGGAGUACAGGAAUUAGAGGACCACCCAGUCGGGGAUGAUGCCGUCAGCCAUCCCUUGAAGGUUAUUGGGUGAAAGAGACUGUGGUUAAUUGGCUGACACUCCUGGGUUUAGUUGAGUAGUUCAUUCCCUGAUUGGCUGAGUUUCAGUGAGGGGCUGACACUGAUUGGUUGGCUCAAAACAGGUUUCCUACAGCUAAUGAAAGAGUUUUAAACCGGUUCUGCCGCUGCUUGUUGCCAUGGCUAUGGAACAAUGGAUCUUUUCCUGGGAGUGUGGGAACGUUAGUAUUCUCAAGCCACCCAGAAUUAGGAUGUAACUGUGUUGCUGAUAAAGGGGGAUUGGAAGUGUGGGGAAUCUGUGUGGCACUGCCUACUUCCCCACCUUCCAAGGAGGGGAGUAAAGGGGUAACACCAGAAACCGGAAAGUCAAAAUUAGCCAUGGGAGCAUUUUACUUAGAGCUACGAACACACCAUCCGAAGAACGGCUGGGGCUGGAGUCCUACAGGGAGACAGAGACUGUGAAGUGAGACAGGGGACUGUGGCCUUGCCCAACAAACCUUGUGGGGAUUUUCCACACCUUCAACCUCAUAGAUGCGUAAUCUUGGUAAUUAAAAAAACUUCUGUGUAUAUAUAUAGCAAUACCUUAACAAUCAUACUCAGUUAAAAAUCUGUUUAACUGAGUAUGAUUGUUUUGGAAGUUUUCACCUGGAAGGUAUUACAAUAUUUUUGUAAAAAAAAAAUAAUUAUAAGAGUCCCACCCCUAGCACACUGCAGCAGAAAGUUAGAUGUCCACACUGGUGCUCAGUCUCUGCUUUAGUGAACUCACGAAGGGCACUCCGUCACUGACCUCCCUCACUCACGGUGGCAUCUGAGGAGGUAGAGAUGUUUUGGGUGCCUGCCCAAACAAACCUCCCUGGGCCCACACCACAUAAACCCUGUGUGGCUCCUUCAGCCAGAAGCUGGAGGGUGAAUUUCUCCCCCAGACCAACAGGGAGUCCCUAAAUCAAGUUGAACAAAAACCAUGCACAAAACUACACAGGGGAAAAGGUGAUUGGAGAGGGCAUCAAUAAAGAACGCUUACAAAUCCAUAUUUUUUAAAAACUCAAAACACACAAACAUGCAUUUCACAGAAGAAAUACACAUAAGAAAAGAUGUUGUUCCUCAUUAGUGAUCAGAGAAAUGCAAAGUAAGGCCCCAGUGAAAUUCCAUUUUACACUCAUUUGGCUGAAACUGAAGAGUCUAAACAGAAGUGGUGCUAGAGAGAGAGGAUGCAGGUGCAGACCACGACCGCGUUGCUGGUGGGAGUGUACACAGGUAUGGCCACACUGGAAAAUAAUUGGCGUUUCGAUGUGGACCAGUCACAUACCCUAAGGCCCAACAGCGCCACUCCUAGGUGCAUAUCCAACAGAAACUCUGGCGCAUGUGUACCAGUGCGGGUGACAACAAUGUUCAUGUCAGCAUUCACAGAACAAAACUGUUGAAACAUCCCAGGCGCCACACAGAAGAGAAUGUAGCUCAUUCACAGGGCAGAAUUCCGCACAUCCGUCAGCACAGCUGAUGGCACCAAAGGGACAGACGAUGGUGUGAGUGAUCUGGGAAGCAUCUUAUUAGGGAAAAAGCUGCAUUCCAUGAAGGCACACAUUGC
rnacentral:lncRNA from 1 species